UUGUAAUUGGAAUGAUGGUGACGUAAAAUCUCACCAGAGUAACAAUUGGAGGGCAAGUCUGGUGCCAGCAGCCGCGGUAAUUCCAGCUCCAAUAGCGUAUAUUAAACUUGUUGCAGUUAAAAAGCUCGUAGUUGAAUUUCUGCGUUGCCCGACUCGGCUACUUGCCUUGUCUGGUUUCGCUUUUGGGGUUUUCCCCUUUUUACUUUGAGAAAAUUAGAGUGUUUCAAGCAGACUUGUGUCUUGAAUACUUCAGCAUGGAAUAAUAAAGUAGGACUUUGGUUCUAUUUUGUUGGUUUGUGAACCUUAGUAAUGGUUAAUAGGAACGGUUGGGGGCAUUCGUAUUUAACUGUCAGAGGUGAAAUUCUUAGAUUUGUUAAAGACGAACUACUGCGAAAGCAUUUGCCAAGGACGUUUUCAUUAAUCAAGAACGAAAGUUAGGGGAUCGAAGACGAUCAGAUACCGUCGUAGUCCUA
rnacentral:rRNA from 1 species